rnacentral:rRNA from 1 species
UACGUAGGGGGCAAGCGUUGUCCGGAAUCAUUGGGCGUAAAGCGCGUGUAGGCGGCUCGAUAAGUCUGCUGUGAAAGUUCAGGGCUCAACCCUGAAAUGCCGGUGGAAACUGUCGAGCUAGAGUCCGGAAGAGGCGAGUGGAAUUCCUGGUGUAGCGGUGAAAUGCGUAGAGAUCCGGAGGAACACCAGUGGCGAAGGCGGCUCGCUGGGCUCUACCUGACGCUGAGGCGCGAAAGCGUGGGGAGCGAACCGG